UACGUAGGGUGCAAGCGUUAUCCGGAAUUAUUGGGCGUAAAGAGCUCGUAGGCGGUUUGUCGCGUCGGCCGUGAAAUCUCCACGCUUAACGUGGAGCGUGCGGUCGAUACGGGCAGACUUGAGUUCGGUAGGGGAGACUGGAAUUCCUGGUGUAGCGGUGAAAUGCGCAGAUAUCAGGAGGAACACCGGUGGCGAAGGCGGGUCUCUGGGCCGAUACUGACGCUGAGGAGCGAAAGCGUGGGGGAGCGAACAGG
rnacentral:rRNA from 1 species